rnacentral:rRNA from 1 species
AGAGUUUGAUCAUGGCUCAGGAUGAACGCUAGCGGCAGGCUUAACACAUGCAAGUCGAGGGGCAGCGCGGGUAGCAAUACCUGGCGGCGACCGGCAAACGGGUGCGGAACACGUACGCAAUUUACCUUUAUCUGGGGUAUAGCCCGGAGAAAUCCGGAUUAAUUCCCCAUAGCAUACCGGUGCGGCAUCGCACUGAUAUU